rnacentral:rRNA from 1 species
AGUGAACGCUGGCGGUAUGCCUAACACAUGCAAGUCGAACGGCAGCACGGUAAGCGCUUGGUCUUACGGGUGGGGACGGGCGGGCGGGGGAGCAAAACAUGGGAAGCUACGUUUUCGAGGGGGGCAAAGUAGUGAAACAUACGCUAAUACCGCAUACGACCUACGGGUGAAAGCGUGAGAUCUUCGGACCUUGCGCGGUUGGAUAAGCCGAUGUCGGAUUGGUGAGUUGGCGGGGUAACGGGCCGCCAAGGCGACGAUCCGUGGCUGGUAUGAGGGGAUGAUCGGCCACAUUGGAACUGAGCAACGGCCCAGCCUCCAACGGGAGGCAGCAGUGGGGAAUAUUGGAAAAUGGGGGCAAGCCUGUUCCGCCAUCACCGCGUGGGUGAAGAAGGCCUUCGGGUUGUAAGGACAUUUUGUUGGGAAAGAAAAGCGCCAGGUUAAUACCCGGAUGUCUGACGGUAACUGAAAAAUAAGCCACGGCUUACUUUGUU